UAGUAGAGCUUCUCAGAAUGACG
rnacentral:piRNA from 1 species